GUAGGUGAACCUGCGGAAGGAUCAUUACCGAGUAUCGGGGCCCUCUGGGUCCCUACUCCCACCCUAUGUGUACCAAUCUUAGUUGCUUUGGCGGGUCGUAGGUUCCGACCUCCGCCGGCUCUCGGGCUGGCGAGUACCCGCUGGAGGACCCCUAAACUCGUUUUAACAGUGGCUCUGAGUUGAUCUUUGAAUAGAAUAAAACUUUCAACAACGGAUCUCUUGGUUCUGGCAUCGAUGAAGAACGCAGCAU
rnacentral:misc_RNA from 1 species